CAACGGCAAAGGAACAACCCAGAGAGAGGGCAGAGGGAAGAGAGGUGGAUUUUUGGCACUUAAUCUGCUGUAAUCAUUAUUACCACAACGCAACACAACGAUCGAAUUAAUAACUAUUGGCCAAUUUUAAUGCUUUUGUAUCAGGAAUCAACUGUUACACACAAAUUCAUUCCAUUACGACCAAUGAGAACGUUAAAAUACUAACGCAAUUAGUACAGCUGAUUUAUGGAUUAACGGAUUAACAAAUUUAUUAUGUAUAUAUUUUAAUAUAUUUAUAUUCAAAUUAUACAUUUAAAAUGAGUAGAAGUUUUCUAUUUUUUAAUAUUUGUCACUAUAAAAAAGUUAAAUAAGUAUUGAUCAAUGGUAACAUUAUGACGAAAUAAAAGCAUUGACACCGUACCCCGGUUUACUUACUAUAAAUCACAAGUUGCGUUAAACACAUAUAUCGAUUUCAUAAAAUGAUUAACUUAGGUUAAAGAUGAGAUUAAGUAAUUUGAUGUAAAUAAAAUUGUAGAUAUAUUCGAAAAAUAUGGCACGAAUUAUUGUAUCAAUUAGGUGGUACGUUAAAUCUCAUGAUAAGAUUUUUGAUAUUACAGAUAAUUAAAACAUUUUUAGUUUCUUGUUAACCUUGUUUUAUGAUCAAGUUAUUUUUCAAUAUUAU